rnacentral:rRNA from 1 species
GAGUUUGAUCCUGGCUCAGGAUGAACGCUGGCGGUCUGCUUAACACAUGCAAGUCGAACGGAAGUAGCAAUACUUUAGUGGCGGACGGGUGAGUAACGCGUGAGAAUCUACCUUCAGGACGGAGACAACAGUUGGAAACGACUGCUAACCCCCGAUGUACCGCAAGGGCAAAUAUUUAUAGCCUGAAGAAGAGCUCGCGUCCGAUUAGCUAGUUGGGGGGGUAAAAGCCCACCAAGGCGACGAUCGGUAGCUGGUCUGAGAGGACGAUCAGCCACACUGGGACUGAGACACGGCCCAGACUCCUACGGGAGGCAGCAGUGGGGAAUUUUCCGCAAUGGGCGCAAGCCUGACGGAGCAAGACCGCGUGGGGGAGGAAGGCUCUUGGGUUGUAAACCCCUUUUCUCUGGGAAGAACAAAAUGACGGUACCAGAGGAAUCAGCAUCGGCUAACUCCGUGC